rnacentral:piRNA from 1 species
UGAAUAGAUAAGCUAUCUUUUCUGGAUUGC